GGCUCGAGGACGAACGCUGGCGGCGUGCCUAACACAUGCAAGUCGAGCGAGGAGAUCCUCGGGAUGAUCCUAGCGGCGGACGGGUGAGUAACACGUGGGCAACCUGCCUCAUAGAGAGGAAUAGCCUUCCGAAAGGGAGAUUAAUACCUCAUAACAUUGCAGUUUCGCAUGGAACAGCAAUUAAAGGAGUAAUCCGCUAUGAGAUGGGCCCGCGGCGCAUUAGCUAGUUGGUGAGGUAACGGCUCACCAAGGCGACGAUGCGUAGCCGACCUGAGAGGGUGAUCGGCCACAUUGGGACUGAGACACGGCCCAGACUCCUACGGGAGGCAGCAGUGGGGAAUAUUGCACAAUGGGGGAAACCCUGAUGCAGCAACGCCGCGUGAGUGAUGACGGCCUUCGGGUUGUAAAGCUCUGUCUUCAGGGACGAUAAUGACGGUACCUGAGGAGGAAGCCACGGCUAACUACGUGCCAGCCGCCGC
rnacentral:rRNA from 1 species